UACGUAGGUGGCAAGCGUUGUCCGGAAUUAUUGGGCGUAAAGAGCUCGUAGGCGGUUUGUCGCGUCGGGAGUGAAAACCUUGGGCUUAACUCAGGGCUUGCUUUCGAUACGGGCAGACUAGAGGUAUGCAGGGGAGAACGGAAUUCCUGGUGUAGCGGUGAAAUGCGCAGAUAUCAGGAGGAACACCGGUGGCGAAGGCGGUUCUCUGGGCAUGAUCUGACGCUGAGGAGCGAAAGUGUGGGGAGCGAACAGG
rnacentral:rRNA from 1 species